rnacentral:rRNA from 1 species
GAUGAACGCUGGCGGCGUGCCUAAUACAUGCAAGUCGAGCGAACAGACGAGGAGCUUGCUCCUCUGACGUUAGCGGCGGACGGGUGAGUCACACGUGGAUAACCUACCUAUCAGACUGGGAUAACUUCGGGAAACCGGCGCUAAUACCGGAUAAUAUAUUGAACCGCAUGGUUCAAUAGUGAAAGACGGUUUUGCUGUCACUUAUAGAUGGAUCCGCGCCGCAUUAGCUAGUUGGUACGGUAACGGCUUACCAAGGCAACGAUGCGUAGCCGACCUGAGAGGGUGAUCGGUCACACUGGAACUUAGACACGGUCCAGACUCCUACGGGAGGCAGCAGUAGGGAAUCGUCCGCAAUGGGCGAAAGCCUGACGGAGCAACGCCGCGUGAGUGAUGAAGGUCUUCGGAUCGUAAAACUCUGUUAUUAGGGAAGAACAAAUGUGUAAGUAACUAUGCACGUCUUGACGGUACCUAAUCAGAAAGCCACGGCUAACUACGUG